AUUGCUGGCGACCGGCGCACGGGUGAGUAACACGUAUCCAACCUGCCGAUAACUCGGGGAUAGCCUUUCGAAAGAAAGAUUAAUACCCGGUGGUAUAAUCAGACCGCAUGGUCUUGUUAUUAAAGAAUUUCGGUUAUCGAUGGGGAUGCGUUCCAUUAGGCAGUUGGUGAGGUAACGGCUCACCAAACCUUCGAUGGAUAGGGGUUCUGAGAGGAAGGUCCCCCACAUUGGAACUGAGACACGGUCCAA
rnacentral:rRNA from 1 species